rnacentral:lncRNA from 1 species
GNCUACCUGCCGCCAUGGCGCGCGCCGCCGGCUCAACCGUCCCGCGCGGCCGCCGCCAAUCCGCGCGCGUCACGCGUCACAUGACCCCCUCCCGGCCACGCCCCCUCGGACGCGCGGGGAAUGUCCCCCCGCGGCCACCGUCUCGGGGGGCGGGUGUAUGUCUCUAUGUGUGUGUCUGCCUCUGUCUGUCUGUCUGUCUGUGUCUCUAUCUGUCUGUGUCCGUGUGUGUGUGUGCCUCUGUCUCUGUGCGGGUGUCUGUCUCUCUUUGUGUGUCUGUCUGUGUGUGUCUCUCCAUCUGUCUCUGUGUGUCUGCGCCUGUGUGUCUGUGUGUGUCUGUCUGUCUGUGCCUCUCUGUGUCUGCGCCUGUAUGUCUGUGUGUCUGUGUGUGUGUGUCUGUCUGUCUGUGCCUCUGUAUGUCUCUGUGUGUCUGCGCCUGUAUGUCUGUGUGUGUGUGUGUCUGUGCCUCUGUAUGUCUCUGUGUGUCUGCGCCUGUGUGUGUGUGUGUCUGUCUGUGCCUCUGUGUGUCUCUGUGUGUCUGCCUGUGCCUCUGUGUCUCUCGUGUGUGUGUGUGUCCAUGUGUGUCUCUGUGUGUCUGUCUGUGCCUGUGUCUCUCUGUCUGUUUCUGUCCGUGUGCAUCUGUCUCUGUGGGUGUGUGUAUGUGUGUCUCUGUCUGUCUGUGUGUGUCUCUGUGUGUGUGUGUCUGGGUGUCUGUCUGUGUUUGUAUGAGUGUGUGUAUAUCUGUGUGUAUAUGUGUCUGUCUGUCUGUGUGUGUCUCUCUGCGUCUGUCUAUCUGUCUGUCUCUGUCUGUCUGUGCCUCUGUGUGUGUCUCUCUAGGUCUGUGUCUGUGUGUGUGUGUCUGUCUGUGUCUCUCUGUCUGUCUGUCUGUGUGUCUCUCUGUCUGUCUCUGUAUGUGUGUCUGUGUCUGUGUGUCUCUCUGUCUGUCUCUGUGUGUGUGUCUGUCUGUGUGUGUCUCUUGGUGUGUGUCUGUGUCUCUGUGUGUCUGUGUCUGCCUGUGCCUCUGUGUCUCUGUCUGUCUCUUGUGGGUGUGUGUAUGUGUGUGUCUCUGUCUGUCUCUUGUGGGUGUGUGUAUGUGUGUGUCUCUGUCUGUCUCUUGUGGGUGUGUGUAUGUGUGUCUCUCUGUCUGUCUCUGUGUGUGUGUGUGUCUGUGUCUGUAUGAGCGUGUGUCUGUCUGUCUGUGUCUGUAUGAGCGUGUGUCUGUCUGUAUGUGUCUAUCUGUCUGUGUGUGUCUCUCUGUCUUCGUGUGUGUCUGUCUGUGUGUAUGUGUGUCUCUCAUCUGUGUGUGUGUAUGUGUGUGUGUGUGUGUAUGUGUGUGUGUGUGUGUGUGUCUGUCUUCCCGGGGGGUUGUUCCGCUGCUCCCGGUGGGUUGGGACGGUGAUGGGGAUAGAAGUGGAGACGAGCCCUCAGUGGGAGUGGGGGGGUUUAUGUGUAAGGGGGUU